rnacentral:rRNA from 1 species
GAUGAACGCUGGCGGCGUGCCUAAUACAUGCAAGUCGAGCGAACGGACGAGAAGCUUGCUUCUCUGAUGUUAGCGGCGGACGGGUGAGUAACACGUGGAUAACCUACCUAUAAGACUGGGAUAACUUCGGGAAACCGGAGCUAAUACCGGAUAAUAUUUUGAACCGCAUGGUUCAAAAGUGAAAGACGGUCUUGCUGUCACUUAUAGAUGGAUCCGCGCUGCAUUAGCUAGUUGGUAAGGUAACGGCUUACCAAGGCAACGAUGCAUAGCCGACCUGAGAGGGUGAUAGGCCACACUGGAACUGAGACACGGUCCAGGCUCCUACGGGAGGCAGCAGUAGGGAAUCUUCCGCAAUGGGCGGAAGCCUGACGGAGCAACGCCGCGUGAGUGAUGAAGGUCUUCGGAUCGUAAAACUCUGUUAUUAGGGAAGAACAUAUGUGUAAGUAACUGUGCACAUCUUGACGGUACCUAAUCAGAAAGCCACGGCUAACUACGUG